rnacentral:lncRNA from 1 species
AGAAGGGGUCUCCGCCUCCUCGAGCUUUUAUAGGAGAAGACGGUAGUGGUAGGGUUUAUGGUUUUCUUCAAGGAUUGUACUGUUUUUGUUCAUAAUAAUUAAGCCUUAAAUGCGUCAUAUACUGAUUACCGGCGUUCAAUAUUGCUACGGACGCUGCGUAUGAGCUGACGCUAUAUCUUUUUUUCCUUUUCUGCAUAUGACAUCCUUCUUGUAGGAGCACGCUAUUCUGCAUUAUUGGCAGAUUUGGAGAUAUUUCUUUUUUUUUAAUUUAAUUUUUCUAUUUUUGAUCUUUUGAGAAAAAGAAGAUGGAGGUAUGAUUUUUUCCCCAGAUGAUCGACGCUGAAUAUACUGUGCGAUUUUUAAUCUCCAUUGAGAUUCACAGCCAGUCUUGCUGAUCCAUCUUCUCCAUCAAACUUCUUUGCUUUUUUUUUUUUACAAUUUACAAUUAAUAAUGGAGGUGAUGAAUAUUUCCCCAAAUGAUCGACGAUGAACAAACUGAGCGAUCUUUCUCUGUUAGGAGAACCAAGCCAGAAUUCUGAUCCAUUCUUUAUCCUUUACCAUCCUUAUUAUUGUUGUUGUUAUUAUUAUUAUUAUUAUUGUUGUUGUUGUUGUUAUUAUUAUUAUUAUUAUUAUUAAGAGAAAGAGAAGGAUGGAGAUCUCGACGCUGAACGAAUUAUGCUAUUUUCUCAUUUGAUAAUGCAAUUCAGGAGUUGGAUCCAUCUCUAUCCGUGCAAAUAUUAUUGUUAACGGCUAUUUAAUUAAUUACGUAUCUACGCGAUGGAACAUUUUAAUUAAUUUGUACACAUGCUAUAUGCUCGAUCAUACAUUGAAAUCCGAAACUUUCGGAGUGGGACUAGGGAGACUGCAUGGUUUCUUCUGACCAUGCAAUUUACAUUGCCCCAUUUCACAAGAAGUCUAAAACCCAAAGCCUCCCUACAGGACAUCACCGACUACUCAACAGCCACCGUCAAAGGAAGAAGCAGAAGUGCAGAAUCAUGAUUUUUUCAUUCUAUCGUAGACAUUGAGGAGCGGUUCUGAGUUGCAUCAAUAUUCUUUGUUCUUCAAUUUUCACUGUAUUAGAAAGAACAGUAUUACAAAUGUAAAGAAUUAUAACAGUAACUUAAUUGUGUAUGUUACCUUAUCACCCCUUAAUAAUCCUGAAUCUCAUAGCCGCCAGAAAUUUUUCUUCGGGUAAGGAAAAUGUCCAUUUUAUAAUAAGCAGUAUUGAAAGGAAUCAGCAACUGCAGAUUAUUUGAUAAGGAAAUUAAGCAAACCUGAAUUUGUACACCACCCACGAUGAGCUAAGCCCAAGCCCGUUAGUUGCUAAAUUGCGUAGGUUAGCUCUAGUUUUUUAAGGAGAAAUGAGUUAGGCACAAAGAUUAAGGUGAGAACCAGCAAGAAAAGGUAAAUAUUGAAAUCAGUAAAAAUCUAAAAAAUAUUAAUUUAGCCUCUAUUUAUUUAAAAUAAUUUAUAUUUAAAAAUAUAUAUAAAAAUUAUUUUUCUUGACACAAGUGAAUACUUAACAAUAUAUAUUUUUCUUUAUAUAUGCAAAUGUUGUAGUUUAGCAUGC